ensembl:lncRNA
GUUUUUAUUGUGAAGUUGCUGGCAAGCGGGAGACAUAUCUGCAUUCACUUUAGAGGUCUUUUCUUUUCCCUCCUCUGUACAAAUACUUUUCAAAUGCUGUUACAUUUGGAAAACUGAGUUUCUUUCUCGAAAUGCAUUUCAGAUUUUGAAGGUGUGUCUGUGUUUUACUCCUCCUUAGACAAGCCAUGGUAGCGUUGUAGCUCAGGAAACCGAGAUUUGUGCGGAGAAGUAAUUUUCCUUCAGGCCGGCUGAUAGCGUCCGCGCGUGCGGAGAGCAGGAGGGACGGCGAGGAGGAACCGAGGGCGAAGCGGCCGGGCCUGCAGCCUCUCUCCUCCCCCCAGGAGCCUCGCUCCCUCCGAGACCGUGUGGCAACUGCAGCAUCAGCAAAACACGAUCACGUUUCUUGCUGGCAGUCCCUGGGCAGCGCAGCGCAGGAGCAACAUGCUGCGACUCUCCGUUCACGCGCCGGGUCCCUGUCCGAGGGGCAGCAGGAGGGAUGCUGGUCGGAUCUGGGCACCGCUGGAAGUCUGCGAAGGAGCUCUCUUCCUGCGGCCUUCUCUGGACACAGGAGCUUCCUGCAGCCCGGCAGAUGUUUCUUCCUUUCUCAGACUGCAAUUCCUGACGCUUCUCACGAGAAACCGUGAGCGUCUUGAAUGGAGCUUCGGUAUGGAGCGAGCCCGGAGCGGUUCCCGCCGGCGCUAUUCUCGGACUUCCGGGAAGCAGCAGGUCCUUCCUGCACGGAGGGGCGAGCGGGCCGGCGCGCCGAGCCGCUGCUGCGGAGGGAGGGAUGGAGGGAGGGAGGGAUGGAGGAAGGGAGGGAGCACCGGCCCGGGGCUCGGCUGGCUCUUCAGGCAGACCUCGUGAGACCGAACCCUUUUUCUACAUGGCUGCGGAGAGCUUGAGUUCAUACUAAUCUUUAGCUUUAAAAAUGAUUAACCAGCGUAGUAGAUAUAUGAAUUUUAUGCAGCUCGAAGCGUCAAUGGUAUCGAUGCCCAGCACACGACUGGGAAGGGCUUUCCGGCCCUUUCUGUGAGCACGCGGAGAUUGUUUCCGAGGAGGCUGAUACCAGCGCCCGUAAAAGGAUUGGGGUUCUUAAAAUUCUCUAAAGCUAAAAAUUUAGCAGGGUUUUGCUUCUACCUUGAAACUGGUUUAAAAAAAGAAGAGGGUGAUACAAAUCUUCCUUGUUUCAAAAUUAAGACUGAAGAGGUUUGCACAUGCAUGAGAAUGAUGGGAACGUAACAAUCUCACGUACUCAAGUUUAGCUCAAUUUAUUUUGGAUCAAAGCAAGCUUUAAAAUGGUACUAUCAAUUAACCUUGAAAAUCUGGCAACAAACCUCACUUGCUGUAAUCUCGAAAUGUUCUUCACUUCUGUUUAAAAGAGAAGAUAGAUUGAAGCAUUUUUGUUGUAGUAACCGGAAAAAUAUUUUAAUUCUCAACAGUUUUAUUAUAAAAUUACUCAAUAUGAAGUGUGUAAUUUUCUUUUUGAAGGAAUUCAAAACAAUUAAGCAACAUACUUUAUGUAAUUACUGCUCCACUGGAAAUUUCCAGGUUUUUAACAUAUAUGCACAAUGCAUGCUUAUGUGCCUUAAUUCAGGAAUGUUGGCUUAUUGUUUCUGAAGUCUGCUUAUUCAAAUGCCAUAAUUAUAUCUUUACAAUAAAAAACGUUUUCGAGUAUUUACUCA